CGGAUGAAAUUCAGCAGCUGGUGGCUCAGGCACGCAGCAGCUUCGACAGCCAGGAUUAUAUGACAGCUGCUGUCCAGCUUGACACUGUCAUUGAGACUUGCGUUUGGGACGUGACCUCUCGUGAGAUUCGAGCAGAGUGUUUUAUUCAAAUGGGGGAGAUGGGAAAGGCCAUCAGUGACCUCAAAGCUGCAUCCAAGUUAAAGAGUGACAAUACCCAGGCUUUCUACAAACUCAGCACCAUCUACUAUAAUCUUGGAGACCAUGAGAUGUCCCUCACGUAAGACCCACUUGCAGACUGCUUUCUUGAGGAAGCUACCACACAGUAUCAGUAUCAGACAUUGUGACCAGGUACCAGAAUUGUCAC